rnacentral:rRNA from 1 species
CUGGCUCAGAACGAACGCUGGCGGCAGGCCUAACACAUGCAAGUCGAACGCUGUAGCAAUACAGAGUGGCAGACGGGUGAGUAACGCGUGGGAACAUGCCCUUCGGUUCGGAAUAACUCAGGGAAACUUGAGCUAAUACCGGAUACGCCCUUAGGGGGAAAGAUUUAUUGCCGAAGGAUUGGCCCGCGUCCGAUUAGCUAGUUGGUGAGGUAAUGGCUCACCAAGGCGACGAUCGGUAGCUGGUCUGAGAGGAUGAUCAGCCACACUGGGACUGAGACACGGCCCAGACUCCUACGGGAGGCAGCAGUGGGGAAUAUUGGACAAUGGGCGCAAGCCUGAUCCAAGCCAUGCCGCGUGAGUGAUGAAGGCCCUAGGGUUGUAAAGCUCUUUCGCCAGGGACGAUAAUGACGGUACCUGGAUAAGAAGCCCCGGCUAACUUCGUGCCAGCCGCUGC